rnacentral:rRNA from 1 species
AGUCGAACGGCAGCACGGGUGCUUGCACCUGGUGGCGAGUGGCGAACGGGUGAGUAAUACAUCGGAACAUGUCCUGUAGUGGGGGAUAGCCCGGCGAAAGCCGGAUUAAUACCGCAUACGAUCCACGGAUGAAAGCGGGGGACCUUCGGGCCUCGCGCUAUAGGGUUGGCCGAUGGCUGAUUAGCUAGUUGGUGGGGUAAAGGCCUACCAAGGCGACGAUCAGUAGCUGGUCUGAGAGGACGACCAGCCACACUGGGACUGAGACACGGCCCAGACUCCUACGGGAGGCAGCAGUGGGGAAUUUUGGACAAUGGGCGAAAGCCUGAUCCAGCAAUGCCGCGUGUGUGAAGAAGGCCUUCGGGUUGUAAAGCACUUUUGUCCGGAAAGAAAUCCUUGGCUCUAAUACGGUCGGGGGAUGACGGUACCGGAAGAAUAAGCACCGGCUAACUACGUGCCAGCAGCCGCGGUAAUACGUAGGGUGCAAGCGUUAAUCGGAAUUACUGGGCGUAAAGCGUGCGCAGGCGGUUUGCUAAGACCGAUGUGAAAUCCCCGGGCUCAACCUGGGAACUGCAUUGGUGACUGGCAGGCUAGAGUAUGGCAGAGGGGGGUAGAAUUCCACGUGUAGCAGUGAAAUGCGUAGAGAUGUGGAGGAAUACCGAUGGCGAA